UGACAGGAAAGAGAAAAAUGUUGAUCUAGAUUCUGUGUUACAUCUCUUGAGAAAAUCAGCCUGGAAAGCACAGUCAAGAUACAGGGUCAACUUUCCAUGACAUUUAGGUCUGCCUACCACCAAAACCAAAUAUUUAUGGAUACAUAGGUGUGUAUACCAGCAGAGGGGGAUUUGAAAGUGAAGUGCAAGUUUCACAUGUGACAACUGUUUGUGAGCUGAAUGUUGCUGCUGUGAUGUGAUUCCUCACACUCAGAGUGGGGAAUGCUUGCAGAAGAGGCUUAUUGUAGAGGCAG